rnacentral:rRNA from 1 species
GACGAACGCUGGCGGCGUGCUUAACACAUGCAAGUCGAGCGGAAAGGCCCUGCUUUUGUGGGGUGCUCGAGUGGCGAACGGGUGAGUAACACGUGAGUAACCUGCCCUUGACUUUGGGAUAACUUCAGGAAACUGGGGCUAAUACCGGAUAGGAGCUCCUGCUGCAUGGUGGGGGUUGGAAAGUUUCGGCGGUUGGGGAUGGACUCGCGGCUUAUCAGCUUGUUGGUGGGGUAGUGGCUUACCAAGGCUUUGACGGGUAGCCGGCCUGAGAGGGUGACCGGCCACGUUGGAACUGAGAUACAGCCCAGACUCCUACGGGAGGCAGCAGUGCGGAAUAUUGCACAAUGGGCGGAAGCCUGAUGCAGCAACGCCGCGUGCGGGAUGACGGCCUUCGGGUUGUAAACCGCUUUCGCCUGUGACGAAGCGUGAGUGACGGUAAUGGGUAAAGAAGCACCGGCUAACUACGUG